rnacentral:rRNA from 1 species
CCUACGGGCGGCAGCAGUGAGGAAUAUUGGUCAAUGGCCGAGAGGCUGAACCAGCCAAGUCGCGUGAGGGAAGACUGCCCUACGGGUUGUAAACCUCUUUUGUCGGGGAGUAAAGUGAGUCACGUGUGACUUUUUGAGUGUACCUUAAGAAAAAGCAUCGGCUAACUCCGUGCCAGCAGCCGCGGUAAUACGGAGGAUGCGAGCGUUAUCCGGAUUUAUUGGGUUUAAAGGGUGGGUAGGCGGGUGGUGAAUUCAGCCGUCAAAAUUUGGGGCUCAACCCCAUACUUGCGAUUGAUACUGCAUGCCUUGAGUACACGUGAGGUAUGCGGAAUGCGUGGUGUAGCGGUGAAAUGCAUAGAUAUCACGAAGAACUCCGAUUGCGAAGGCAGCUUACCAACGCGCAACUGACACUCAUGCACGAAAGUGUGGGUAUCGAACAGGAUUAGAUACCCCAGUAGUC